ACAUUGUGUUCCUCUUUAGGACCUGGCGUUGUACAACGAGUUCACCAUCAGUGACACCCUGACGUUCUUCGGACGGAUCCACGGCCUGUCAUCUAAGGACACUCAGGCACGCAUUAACUUCCUGGUGGACUUCCUGGACCUACCUCAGAAGAGCAAACUGGUCCGAAAUCUCAGCGGAGGGCAGAAACGGAGGGUUUCUCUAGGAGCAGCCUUACUUCAAAACCCCCAGUUAUUGAUUCUGGAUGAACCCACAGUCGGGGUGGACCCUGUGCUGAGAGCCAAGAUCUGGCAGCAUCUAGUAGAUAUUGUGAAAACUGGAAAAGUGUCGGUCGUCAUCACCACUCACUACAUAGAGGAGGCCAGGCAAGCCAAUGUGGUGGGUCUGAUGAGGAAUGGCCGACUGUUGGCUCGAGGGACUUCCAGAAGCCAUGAUGAAACAGCACAAUGCACCGACCCUGGAGAAAGCCUUCCUGCAGCUGUGUGAGACGUCAGACCAGGUGAGCUCCAAACACAGCACCUCGCCUCAGGGCGGGGUCCUAG